AUCAGCUUGUUGGUGAGGUAAUGGCUCACCAAGGCGUCUACGGGUAGCCGGCCUGAGAGGGUGACCGGCCACACUGGGACUGACACACGGCCCACACUCCUACGGGAGGCAGCAGUGGGGAAUAUUGCACAAUGGGCGCAAGCCUGAUGCAGCAACGCCGCGUGCGGGAUGACGGCCUUCGGGUUGUAAACCGCUUUUAGUAAGGAAGAAGGGGCUUCGGCCUUGACGGUACUUGCAGAAAAAGGACCGGCUAACUACGUGCCAGCAGCCGCGGUAAUACGUAGGGUCCGAGCGUUGUCCGGAAUUAUUGGGCGUAAAGAGCUCGUAGGCGGUUUGUCGCGUCUGCUGUGAAAACUAGAGGCUCAACCUCUAGCCUGCAGUGGGUACGGGCAGACUUGAGUGCGGUAGGGGAGAAUGGAAUUCCUGGUGUAGCGGUGGAAUGCGCAGAUAUCAGGAGGAACACCGAUGGCGAAGGCAGUUCUCUGGGCCGUAACUGACGCUGAGGAGCGAAAGCGUGGGGAGCGAACAGGAUUAGAUACCCUGGUAGUCCACGCCGUAAACGUUGGGCGCUAGAUGUGGGGACCUUUCCACGGUUUCCGUGUCGUAGCUAACGCAUUAAGCGCCCCGCCUGGGGAGUACGGCCGCAAGGCUAAAACUCAAAGGAAUUGACGGGGGCCCGCACAAGCGGCGGAGCAUGCGGAUUAAUUCGAUGCAACGCGAAGAACCUUACCAAGGCUUGACAUACACGAGAACGGGCCAGAAAUGGUCAACUCUUUGGACACUCGUGAACAGGUGGUGCAUGGUUGUCGUCAGCUCGUGUCGUGAGAUGUUGGGUUAAGUCCCGCAACGAGCGCAACCCUCGUCGCAUGUUGCCAGCACGUAAUGGUGGGAACUCAUGUGAGACUGCCGGGGUCAACUCGGAGGAAGGUGGGGAUGACGUCAAAUCAUCAUGCCCCUUAUGUCUUGGGCUUCACGCAUGCUACAAUGGCCGGUACAAAGGGCUGCGAUGUCGUAAGGCGGAGCGAAUCCCAAAAAGCCGGUCUCAGUUCGGAUUGAGGUCUGCAACUCGACCUCAUGAAGUCGGAGUCGCUAGUAAUCGCAGAUCAGCAACGCUGCGGUGAAUACGUUCCCGGGCCUUGUACACACCGCCCGU
rnacentral:rRNA from 1 species